ACUUAUACAGUCAGAAAAAUGUCACAUGAUGAGAGCUAACAUCAGAAGUGUUACCUUUAACACUGGAGAAAAACCUUGGCUUUACACACAGCUAAAUGAAGAGGCAUUAAAUAACAACAGAACCCUCUUCCUCAAUAAUCCAUGAGUGCUGAACAGCAGAAAAACAUUCUGCUAUGGCAGAAUCCUCACUAUGUGAACAUGCCACCUACAGUCCAGUACAACUGUGGGGCUUCACAAAACUUACCAUUUUGUCAGUGCCAAUGGUACUUAAGAAAAAUGAAAUCCAUGGAAGGUUCUAUAGACUUUAAAGAUAUCCCCUUGGAAACUUAAAGCCCUCCAAAGUGUGCUGACAAAGACAUCCACUGAGGACAGAGACAGCAGUCCAAUGAUGAGGAUCAACACAAUGUCAAGUGUCAGGUCAACACUUUCCCAGAACACACUGAGGCCUACCAACAUGACUGCCCCUGACCAAAUUUCCAAAAUUCCAAAUGUACUUUGUCAUGUUCACAGUCACCUGCCUUCUAAUCAUGCACAUCAGUAUCCAGUUAGACCCGUCACUAGAUGAAGGACUCAAAAACAACCACUCAAUGCCAAAGAAUGCUCCUUUUAUUCUGUGUGUUAAUAUUCUACUUUCGAUCGUGUUUUACUAUCUGGCUUUUGCAUUUUGGAUUUGCUCGAGAUUAUUGUUUGCUGAUCGCCUGACCUUUUUGUCUCCUGUCUAUGUCUUCGCUUAAUGUUUUGGAUUUAUUUUCCAGUUCCUUUUAAUAAAAUGCUAAACUGUA